rnacentral:lncRNA from 1 species
AAUUGGUUAAGAAAGACAGGUCCCCACCGACUUUCAAGGUAGUUUCACAGAAGUCACAUACAUCUGAUAACUUUGUCAUAUGGACACACAUGGCUGUUGGAAGAGUAAGUGAGGAAUAUCACUUAUGCAGCAAUGGGCCUAGCUGAAAAUUCAACCUCUUAAUAUUAAGGAAGGAAAGAGUAUUGAUAGGCAAUGAGAGUAUCUGCCACAGAUGGCAAUGAUAGCUGUGAUUUUAUUCUUCAACUUGAAAUAAAAUUUAAAACGGUGAGAAUAUUUACUGAAAUUUGUAAAUAUUCUCCUCUCUUUUAGCUUAAAUGAGAUAUGCAUGUGGAAACUGUUAAAAUGAGUAAAAUGUCUAAAUAAUUCUAAAGAGGGUUGUUUUUGUUUCCUACUUUUAUGGUGAGUGGCUUUGCAAGUGCCGGAUAUUAAAGAAUCACUGAAUCAUGAGCUAAAGGAUAAUUUUUACAUAAGACAGUCAGAGAUGUUUAGGAAACACAGUUAAGCAGAAUAUCAAAGAAUUUCACACCAGCUUUGAUGGUUGAAAGUGGGCGCUUUUUGAGGCUAGCAUGAGGCCAUAAUUUUUUAACAGGAUGUGUGUUUAUUUUCUGAAAGCAUGAGUAAGUCUCUUUUGUUCUUUCACAAGACAUGGUUAAAGUCGUCCUGUAUUAUAUAUAAAAAAAACCAAGAUAAUUGACUGUGUAUAUAAUGAAAAGUAGCAUUAAAUAAAUACAAUGGAUUGACAUUUCACAGAUAUGUAUUAGUAUCUAAGUAGCAGCAUAUGAUAUAUCAGGUACAGUUUGUUCCUGUAAUUAGAAUUGGAAUGCUAUGUAAUAGUAGUUUGCCCCAAUACUUCAUCUAUAAAAUAGGACGAGUAAACUGCUAACUCCCAAGGUGAUUUUUAAGCUCAAGAAUAAAGUAAUAAAGAGAUAGAUGAUAGAUAAACAGAACAUUACCACCUUGUACAUGAUCAUAAAUUUUACUUAUAUGGUGCUUAAUAAUUGGUAAUUCCAAUUAUUUUACUUGUGUCUUCAUGUUAUACUUGACAAAUAAGUGUAUAAGAGAGCUGAGUCCUUAAUAUGUGAGGUAUCUGACUCUUUAGAUUUUUAUGCCUUUUUUUUUUUUAUUUUUAGGACCGAACCCCACAGCAUAUGGAAAUUCCCAGGCCAGGGGUUGAAUUGCAAUUGUAGCUGCCAGCUUACACCACAGCCACAGCCAGAGCCAUAGCAGUGUGGGAUCUGAGCCUAGUCUGUGACCUACACCACAGCUCAUGGCAACACCAGAUCCUUCACCCACUGAACAAGGCCAGUGGUCAACCCACAUCCUCGUGGGUACUAGUCAGAUUUUUUUCCGCUGUGCCCAAACGGGAACUCCCAGACUUUUCCGUAUUUCAUAGGUGCUCUGUAUCUUGUGCAUUCCUUUGACUUUCCUCUACACGUGGCUUAGCUGACGCAGUGGCAUUCCUGUAGGAUAACUGGGAUAUGAUUCUGUCAUGAAAAGUUGUAAAGGAAAGAAAUAAAAUAUGGUAUAAAGUGCAUGAAAAAUUUAGACUUGGCCUAAAAAAGUACUUGGACCCUGGAGAUAAUAAUUCAAUAGCUAAGUUUAUAGAUAUGGUUAAGAAAAAAAAAAUCAAACCUGGGAAAUCAAAGCGGUGUUUUUAUUUUUAUUCUAGUACCGUAUCAACCUGAAAGUGUCAUACUUGCAAAUGGAAUGACUCAAAAAAGGCAAGAUACUACAUCUUAUAGAGUUUCAUCAGAAUGGCUUCUCCCUAGGAUGGUUCUGGAGAGGAGAAAUGCUUAUGCUUAGGACUGGACAAUUCAUGAGAAAGUGAACCACAUGAAAUGAUAAAAGUUGAGGCACAUUUAAGCACCUCUUUUCCUAUGAUCCCAAUGUGGGCUUUGAUGUCGUGGAGACAAUCUAUUUGGGGAAUUCAUACUGCCAAUGAAGAGGCUCACUCUCUCUCUCUCUCUGACUGUGGCCACACGGAGCACGUCGUAUAAAACAGAGGCCAUUUCUUCCUUUGGGAAGGUCAUCUCCACAGACCAGAUGGAAGGAAGGAGGGAGGAACAAAGUUGGGAUCCAGCCCAACUGAGUUCUGCCAAAAGAAAAGCUAUGCCUAUGCCUAUAAAGCUUUCUUGAAAAGUCUAAUCCAUCGUCUUUUCUAUUAGCAUGAUCACCCCCUAGAGCGAUAAAGCAGGUGUUGGCAAAAUGUUUGAACUUCCCAGCACUGUUCAAGUUGUAUAUCUUAACCCCAUAACCUCUGAUCAUCCCAUCAUUACUUGUCCUCAAAUUUCUGACUCCCCACUGAGUUGUCAGUCAUGCUCAUUUUCUAUCUCUCUUGCUUUCCUAUUACUUUCUCAUACACAUCUACUUUUGACUUGUCCGCAAGCCUGGACUCAAUCUUUCUUUGUCCAUAUUGUCCAGAUUCAGCAAUCAGACAUGGUCAUACACGGUCAUAUUUAGGAACAGCCCUUGCUGGAAAAUGUUAUACUUCUAAGGAACGAAUUGGUCAUUUUGGGAAAUACCUUUUGGAAGAUUUGAACACCAAGAUAGAGUGGGUUUUGGAGAUGUGUCUAUUUUUCCGGGAUAGCUGCAGAAAUCUGAUUAAAUAAGUAUUUGAAUAGUGCUUUAUUUUGGAAAAAGAUUGAUUCUCCUGUGUGCUUUCUCAUUUUAAAAAGAUACCGUUCAAUACUAUCCACACAAUUAAGUAGUUGGGAUAACCAUUGACCCCAUUAGUAGCUUUGAAAAGUGAAUUAUACAGAAGUUGACUUACCGUAGCUCAAACAAGGUCGGUAUACAACAUGGGCAGCCACAGGUCUCAUGACUUUUAGUCCUUGGCUCUCUACAGCCACGUAAUGGCUCCUUUAAGCUUCCUUGCCAGUGGUUAUAGAACAGAAGUGGAUCUCAAUGCAUACAUUUUUGAGGCUGUUUCCAAUCUAAAGAGAAUAAAAUCCCAUGCUUUACUCUGGUUUCUCAAAGACUUGAAUGAUUUUUGGCAUGCUCCCCUGACUCCAGUUUAAUGAAAGGGCCUCCAUGCCACAAUUAUAGCAUCUAUAGCCUGCAAUUUCCUUACACUGUCUCCAAUAAAAGCAGGCUGCUCCAUAUCCCAGUUACUCAGCAAGGAGAUCAUCCCCAUGCAGGGUCCUUCAUGCUCCCCACCAGCAUCAAUUAAGAAUCCACUUAUGCAAAGCAAUGACUUGGAGGAAUUCUUUUUGGCUUCACUUCUGAUUUUCCCUAGAAGUGAAAAGACCGUCUUGCUUAAUGCAGAUUCUCACAUAUAUAAAACCAGAGUGCUUUUAAAAACACUGUUCCAAUACACAAUUAGAGUAAUCGCCUCUUUCUCUCUGUUGCUUUCCUUAAAUAUUUACAGAGAAGAAACCUCUCCCUUAGAAAUUUGUGGUUUUCCAGGCUGUAUGUUUGUAAUUCAGUUGAUCUUUCUCAGUCCGGUGUACUCAGGCAUUUUAUCAUUGUGGUAGGGACUCUGUGCAUUUCUCUGAUUUCUUUAUAUUUUCUCCAAAGCAUGGCAUCAAGAAUUGGAUAUGAUAAUGCUUGGGGAUAGCUGCAGUUACCUAUGACAUCCAUCAGGCAACCUGAGCUAAUUUAGCCUAAUAGCCUGCAAGUCUCACGAUAUACAAAAACCUGGAGUUCUCCAUUUUUCUUUGUUGUUUGUACCAACACAAGACUGAUUUCAAGGACACACUUUUGAAGUAAUGUAAAUAUUUAUAGUCUAGUUUUGAUAUUUGAUUUUUUAAAAAGAAUUACCCUCCCUUUAUGAGCUUAAAAGAUUAAUCAUUUCGUAUGGACACAUUUUUAAUGGCCAAAAUAGAUAAAAUUGUGUGAGGUUCAGAUAUUUCAAAAUUCUUUAAGAAGAUUGUAACCAAUAGAGCUGUACUUAACAGCAGCCAUCAGUUAACAGAAUUGUUUGGAUAGGUGGAUGAAAAGAAAAAUAGAUGAAUCAUUUUGCAUUCACUCAUUUAAUCAACAAAUAUUUGGAGCCCGUUCUGUACAAGACAAAUUUUUCCAGGGGCUGGGUGUCAGCAAGGUAUAAAACACACAGAUGUUUCUGAUCUUAGAGCUCAUGUGCUAGUGGGAUGAAAAGAAGGAAUAAAACAUUGUGUAAUUAAUUAAUUAUAUUAAAAAUAAGAGAAAAGAUAAAAUAGAGCUAAUGGGAUGGAAUAUUAUAUUCAAUUUGAAGUAAAAUAGCCAGGGCACGUCUGGGUGAAAGGGUGACAUUCAAGGUAAGGGAGAAAGGGAGCUCUGUGUCUACCCAGGAGGAGAGAUUCCAGAAAUUGCCACUUCAAAUGCUCUGUGUUGAAAGCAUAGCAGAGAAGCCCUUGGGGUUAAAAUGGAAUGAGUAUGAGAAAAGGGUAGAUAGGUGAAAAAUAGGAGUGAAUCUUUUUAGACCAUUAAAGGUAUUUCAACAAUCGCUCUAAGUGAAAAAGGGACAUAUUGGAGGAUUUGUAUAGAUGAGGAAUCCUCUUUUAGGAUGGUCCAGCAGUAGCAGGUUGGGGAGACAUAACCUCUCUAGGUCUAAACAUAUAUAAUAUGGGGAAGAGGCGCUCGGAACCCUAGAAUUUUAUCCUUGUUAGUAACCUUAUAGAUUGAGGUGAUGGAUGAUGCAGUGCAAGUCUCCUAUUUUACAGGUCAGGAAAUGGCUUAAGGGAAAGUUAUGAUUUGUAUAAAAUCAUAGAGUUGAGUACUCAUUGUUUUAUUUUUAUAACCAAUAUAUUUAAAUUUUAUAUGAUGGAUGUAAAGAGGCAUGGAGGGUGAGAAAGUUCUGAGUUGUUGAUUUCAUUAAGGCUGGAUUUUUGUGACAUGCCACAUUUGUUUCCUAUCUCUAGUGUAACCCAUAUCCAAAAGAGGGAAGUUAAAGAUGAUUAAUUCAUGGUCUCUUAAGCAAAGAAGGCACUGUCCUCAGUGGUGGAAAUUUGGGUUCCUACAGCAACUUAUUUUCUAAAUCUUGAUCUAUAACGCAAUGUAUAACUAAGGCAGGUGGCUUGACCUCUCCAAGGUUCUGUCUCCUCAUCGGGGUAAAAUAGAAGUAUUAAUUAAUUGUAACUGAUCCGUAGUUCUUAUGAAGUUGAAAUGAAUUAGUGCUCAACCAUAUUGUCUAAGUUUUUGAUUGGUUAUUUUAAUUUAUUAAAUAGAAGCCGAUUAAAUAAAUAUUUGUUGACAGCUAUAUGUUUCAAAUGCCUGGAUACAAGCUUUAAAUAGAUAUCAUCUCUAAUCUCAGAAAAGCCUCACUAGUAGACGAGAUGUGAUAAGCUCAGUAUUGUAAUAAACUAUAAUACAAAGCUACACAAAAUCCAGUGGGAAUGCAGAGAGAGAAGAUCUCUAAUGUCUAUAUCAAUGCAUCGAAUAUACUGUUUUAAAAAGUAGGAAUUUGAAGUUCCCACCAUGGCAUGGCUUCUGCAGCAGCUCAGGUCACAGGUUCAAUCCCUGGUCUGGUGCAGUAGGUUAAGAAUCUGGCAUUGCCACAGCUGUAGUGUAGGCUACAGCUGUGGCUCAGAUUUAAUUCCUGGCCCAGGAACUUCUUUAUGCUGCGUGUGCAGCCAAACAAUAAUUAAUUAAUUUUACAAAGUAGAAAUUUGAGCAAUUAGAGAAAUAGCAAAGUGGUCAAGUUUGUAAUUUGUUGGUGAGAAAUUAACAGUUAUUUUCUGAGAAAGUGAGAUUUAAAUUAAGACGUGAGUUGCUAAUGUUAUUUAUGCAUUUGGAGUUAAGGAGGGGUAUUUAAGGUGAGGAAGAACAUAGCAAAGAAACAUAGGUAUGAAAGUACAAGUCUCCUAAAGAACACAUGACAAGUUUAAAUUUCCAAAAAAAAACAAAUUCCUACCUCUUACCCUAAUUAUACUAACUCAGUGUGUCUGGAUUGGGACCAAAACAUUUCUGGUUGUAACAAAGCAAAACAAUGGUUGACCCUGGUGAUCCAUGAACUACCAUUUAGGGAAAACUAAACUCUAGAGUUCUUGAAGGGAUUCUUUUGAAAACCAAACUGUGAAGUAGGUUGGGUUUGAUUUUGGGGAUGCCUUAUAGCAGGUUUAAGAGAAAGUCAAUAUUUAGGUAAUUAAUAUUUUCUUAAAGAUAGUGAGGUGAUAAAUAGAGAAAAAAAUUGCAAGUUGUGUUGACACCCUUCUAGAAUGAAGAAAUUAAAAAAAACAAUCACAGCGAAUCAGGGCUGACACCUUUCCUUCACAGCAUCCGCAUUCCUCAAAAUGAUAAUAUUCCUCUGAGACACCGAUGGUGCUUUUGUUUCCUGCAGGAAGAUGUUCUGUGUCUUGGAGUCCGAUGUGGCCUGUGGCAGUUGCUGUGGUAACUAGUUUAAGGCAUGUCAUCGAAUUACCAAGUAAACAGUCUUAUAAGUCAGAUAGUGUAGCUGACAUGUAAAUGAAGGCUGCCUUGUCUCUGUCAGCUUUUCUAUUCUGAAUUCCCUUGCUUUCCAUAUUUAAGAGAGAAUUCCCUUUCCCUU